rnacentral:rRNA from 1 species
GCAGCAUAGGAGCUUGCUCCUGAAUGNCGAGUGGCGAACGGGUGAGUAAUAUAUCGGAACGUGCCCUAGAGUGGGGGAUAACUAGUCGAAAGAUUAGCUAAUACCGCAUACGAUCUACGGAUGAAAGUGGGGGAUCGCAAGACCUCAUGCUCCUGGAGCGGCCGAUAUCUGAUUAGCUAGUUGGUGAGGUAAAAGCUCACCAAGGCGACGAUCAGUAGCUGGUCUGAGAGGACGACCAGCCACACUGGGACUGAGACACGGCCCAGACUCCUACGGGAGGCAGCAGUGGGGAAUUUUGGACAAUGGGGGCAACCCUGAUCCAGCAAUGCCGCGUGAGUGAAGAAGGCCUUCGGGUUGUAAAGCUCUUUUGUCAGGGAAGAAACGGUUGAGGCUAAUAUCCUCGGCUAAUGACGGUACCUGAAGAAUAAGCACCGGCUAACUACGUGCCAGCAGCCGCGGUAAUACGUAGGGUGCAAGCGUUAAUCGGAAUUACUGGGCGUAAAGCGUGCGCAGGCGGUUGUGUAAGUCAGAUGUGAAAUCCCCGGGCUCAACCUGGGAAUUGCAUUUGAGACUGCACGGCUAGAGUGUGUCAGAGGGGGGUAGAAUUCCACGUGUAGCAGUGAAAUGCGUAUAUAUGUGGAGGAAUACCGAUGGCGAAGGCAGCCCCCCUGGGAUAACACUGACNCUCAUGCACNAAAGCGUGGGG